rnacentral:rRNA from 1 species
CCUACGGGAGGCAGCAGUGAGGAAUAUUGGUCAAUGGACGCAAGUCUGAACCAGCCAUGCCGCGUGCAGGAAGACGGCCCUAUGAGUUGUAAACUGCUUUUGUACGAGGGUAAACGCAGAUACGCGUAUCUGUCUGAAAGUACCGUACGAAUAAGGAUCGGCUAACUCCGUUCCCGCAGCCGCGGUAAUACGGAGGAUUCGAGCGUUAUCCGGAUUUAUUGGGUUUAAAGGGUGCGUAGGCGGUCGGAUAAGUCAGGGGUGAAAUCCCGAGGCUCAACUUCGGAAUUGCCUCUGAUACUGUUCGGCUAGAGAGUAGGUGCGGUAGGCGGAAUGCAUGGUGUAGCGGUGAAAUGCUUAGAUAUCAUACAGAACACCGAUUGCGAAGGCAGCUUACCAAGCUACUUCUGACGUUGAGGCGCGAAAGCGUGGGGAGCAAACAGGAUUAGAUACCCUGGUAGUC